GAUGAAUGCUGGCGGCGUGCCUAACACAUGCAAGUCGAGCGGCAGCGCGUCUAGUUUACUAGAUGGCGGCGAGCGGCGGACGGCUGAGUAACGCGUGGGAACGUGCCCCAAAGUGAGGAAUAACUGCCCGAAAGGGUAGCUAAUGCCGCAUAUGAUCUUCGGAUUAAAGUCUUCGGACGCUUUGGGAGCGGCCCGCGUCGGAUUAGGUUGUUGGUGAGGUAAUGGCUCACCAAGCCGACGAUCCGUAGCUGGUCUGAGAGGAUGAUCAGCCAGACUGGAACUGAGACACGGUCCAGACUCCUACGGGAGGCAGCAGUGAGGAAUCUUCCACAAUGGGGGCAACCCUGAUGGAGCAACGCCGCGUGAAGGAUGAAGGCCCUCGGGUUGUAAACUUCUUUUAUGAGUGAAGAAUAUGACGGUAACUCAUGAAUAAGCACCGGCUAACUACGUGCCAGCAGCCGCGGUAA
rnacentral:rRNA from 1 species